ACGCUCGACACCUACGGGAAGCAGCAGUGGGGAAUAUUGCACAAUGGGGGAAACCCUGAUGCAGCGACGCCGCGUGAGCGAAGAAGUAUUUCGGUAUGUAAAGCUCUAUCAGCAGGGAAGAAAUUGACGGUACCUGACUAAGAAGCACCGGCUAAAUACGUGCCAACAGCCGCGGUAAUCUGAGCGGGCUGGCAAGGC
rnacentral:rRNA from 1 species